GGAAAAAGUAUGACAAAUAUGGAGAAAAGGGACUUGAGGAUAAUCAAGGUGGCCAGUAUGAAAGCUGGAACUAUUAUCGUUAUGAUUUUGGUAUUUAUGAUGAUGAUCCUGAAAUCAUAACAUUGGAAAGAAGAGAAUUUGAUGCUGCUGUUAAUUCUGGAGAACUGUGGUUUGUAAAUUUUUACUCCCCAGGCUGUUCACACUGCCAUGAUUUAGCUCCCACAGUACGUAUUUUUCACAUCCUCAUUACUAAUUUUAUUUCUAAUUGAUCUGCAAUUUAUAUGUUAGAAUUUUUUUUCUAUGAAUAGUAAUCAAAAAUAAUUAUCAAAUACUUUAAAUGUCUGGUUUAAAAAUGUAUAGCUUGGAGUGUGUUCAAGGGAAGAAAAGUGGUCUUAUCAGAGAAAUAUGUUUUCUUUUUCUGUCAUAGUGGAGAGACUUUGCUAAAGAAGUGGAUGGGUUACUUCGAAUUGGAGCUGUUAACUGUGGUGAUGAUAGAAUGCUUUGCCGAAUGAAAGGAGUCAACAGCUAUCCCAGUCUCUUCAUUUUUCGGUCUGGAAUGGUAAGGGAUAAAGUUAGCAUUUUUUAAAUUUGUGAAACAUUAUGACAAGUUAAAUACUAGAGAAAAUAAUAGUAUGUGGAAUUUGCAGAACAUUUUAAGUCUUGGUUUAG
rnacentral:sRNA from 1 species